ACAAGUUGGAGCAAGUCAGAAGAUUUCCAUAUAUCCCAAGAAAGCGACGAGUCGUGACCCAAGGAAGCAAUAUAUCCCAAGGGUUAGAAGAGGCUCGCAUAUAGUGUUUUAAAACAGAUUGUCUGAAAAAGAAAAAAGAAAAGGGCCGGCGGAAGCUACCCAAGUGUUAGAAGAGACUCGCAUACCGUGUUUCAAACUGGAUUGUUAAAAAAUAAUAAAAAAUAAAAAAAUAAAAAUAAAAGAAAAGGGUGAGUUAGCCGGCAGAAGAUAAAAAAAUUAUGAAAAACCUAUAAGCUGCACAUAGAGGAAAAUUCUUUAUGCACCAC
rnacentral:lncRNA from 1 species